CCCCUUCCAGAGUCGCACCUGGAGAGUUUCCAGUACUCUACCAGUCUCGGCUAUGGGAGGGAGAGUCAAGGAGAGGGAAACCCAUUCCAUUCCUAGCUUGGGCAGUGGAGAGUGGAUGGAAGGCAAUCUGCUACAAGU